rnacentral:rRNA from 1 species
AACGAACGCUGGCGGCAGGCUUAACACAUGCAAGUCGAGCGCGGUCUUUCGGGACUGAGCGGCGGACGGGUGAGUAACGCGUGGGAACGUGCCCUUCUCUCUGGAAUAGCCCUGGGAAACUGGGAGUAAUGCCGGAUACGCCGGGCCAUGGCGACAUGGUUUGGGAAAGAUUUAUCGGGGAAGGAUCGGCCCGCGUCGGAUUAGGUAGUUGGUGGGGUAACGGCCUACCAAGCCGACGAUCCGUAGCUGGUUUGAGAGGAUGACCAGCCACACUGGGACUGAGACACGGCCCAGACUCCUACGGGAGGCAGCAGUGGGGAAUCUUGGACAAUGGGGGCAACCCUGAUCCAGCCAUGCCGCGUGAGCGAUGAAGGCCUUAGGGUUGUAAAGCUCUUUCAGCGGGGAAGAUAAUGACGGUACCCGCAGAAGAAGCCCCGGCUAACUCCGUG